GUCUGGGUGGCUCAGUCAGUUGAGCGCCUGACUUCAGCUCAGGUCAUGAUCUCACGGUUUGUGAGUUCGAGCCCCACCUCAGGCU
rnacentral:tRNA from 1 species